rnacentral:rRNA from 1 species
UUAGGUCGGGAACUCAAAGGAGACUGCCAGUGAUAAACUGGAGGAAGGUGGGGAUGACGUCAAGUCAUCAUGGCCCUUACGACCAGGGCUACACACGUGCUACAAUGGCGCAUACAAAGAGAAGCGACCUCGCGAGAGCAAGCGGACCUCAUAAAGUGCGUCGUAGUCCGGAUUGGAGUCUGCAACUCGACUCCAUGAAGUCGGAAUCGCUAGUAAUCGUGGAUCAGAAUGCUACGGUGAAUACGUUCCCGGGCCUUGUACACACCGCCCGUCACACCAUGGGAGUGGGUUGCAAAAGAAGUAGGUAGCUUAACCUUCGGGAGGGCGCUUACCACUUUGUGAUUCAUGACUGGGGUGAAGUCGUAACAAGGUAACCGUAGGGGAACCUGCGGUUGGAUCACCUCCUUACCUUAAAGAA